rnacentral:rRNA from 1 species
UACGAAGGGGGCUAGCGUUGUUCGGAUUUACUGGGCGUAAAGCGCACGUAGGCGGAUCGUUAAGUCGGGGGUGAAAUCCUGGAGCUCAACUCCAGAACUGCCUUCGAUACUGGCGAUCUUGAGUCCGGAAGAGGUGAGUGGAACUCCUAGUGUAGAGGUGGAAUUCGUAGAUAUUGGGAAGAACACCGGUGGCGAAGGCGGCUCACUGGCCCGUAACUGACGCUCAUGCACGACAGCGUGGGGAUCAAACAGG